rnacentral:rRNA from 1 species
GGUUCCCUACGGGGGGCAGCAGUGGGGAAUAUUGCACAAUGGGCGAAAGCCUGAUGCAGCAACGCCGCGUGAAGGAAGAAGGCCUUCGGGUCGUAAACUUCUGUCCUUGGGGAAGAAGAACUGACGGUACCCAAGGAGGAAGCCCCGGCUAACUACGUGCCAGCAGCCGCGGUAAUACGUAGGGGGCAAGCGCUAUCCGGAAUUAUUGGGCGUAAAGAGUACGUAGGGGGCAACCUAAGCGCAGGGUUUAAGGCAAUGGCUCAACAAUUGUCCGCCCUGCGAACUGGGAUGCUUGAGUGCAGGGG